rnacentral:snRNA from 2 species
AUCGCUUCUCGGCCUUUUGGCUAAGAUCAAGUGUAGUAUCUGUUCAUCAGCUGUACAGUGGCAACACGACAUCCAUC